rnacentral:piRNA from 1 species
UAAAGCUAGAGAACCGAAUGUAA